rnacentral:tRNA from 1 species
GCGGGCGUGGCGAAACUGGUAGACGCGCCAGACUUAGGAUCUGGUGGGCGAAAGCCCAUGGGGGUUCGAGUCCCUCCGCCCGCACCA